rnacentral:rRNA from 1 species
UACGAAGGGGGGCUAGCGUUGCUCGGAAUCACUGGGCGUAAAGCGCACGUAGGCGGCUUCUUAAGUCAGGGGUGAAAUCCUGGAGCUCAACUCCAGAACUGCCCUUGAUACUGAGGAGCUCGAGUCCGGAAGAGGUGAGUGGAACUGCGAGUGUAGAGGUGAAAUUCGUAGAUAUUCGCAAGAACACCAGUGGCGAAGGCGGCUACUGGUCCGGUACUGACGCUGAGGUGCGAAAGCGUGGGGAGCAAACAGG